CCUACGGGUGGCAGCAGUGAGGAAUAUUGGUCAAUGGACGAGCGUCUGAACCAGCCAAGUAGCGUGAAGGAUGACUGCCCUAUGGGUUGUAAACUUCUUUUAUAUGGGAAUAAAAUGUUCCACGUGUGGGAUUUUUUAUGUACCAUAUGAAUAAGGAUCGGCUAACUCCGUGCCAGCAGCCGAGGUAAUACGGAGGAUCCGGGCGUUAUCCGGAUUUAGUGGGUUUAAAGGGAGCGUAGGUGGAUUGGUAAGUCAGGUGGGAAAGUUGGCGGCUUAACCGUAAAAUUGCAGUUGAAACUGGCAGUCUUGAGUACAGUAGAGGUGGGCGGAAUUCGUGGUGUAGCGGUGAAAUGCUUAGAUAUCACGAAGAACUCCGAUUGCGAAGGCAGUUCACUGGACUGCAACUGACACUGAGGCUCGAAAGUGUGGGUAUCAAACAGGAUUAGAUACCCUUGUAGUC
rnacentral:rRNA from 1 species